rnacentral:rRNA from 1 species
GUGCCAGCCGCCGCGGUAAGACGGAGGAUGCAAGUGUUAUCCGGAAUCACUGGGCGUAAAGCGUCUGUAGGUGGUUUAAUAAGUCAACUGUUAAAUCUUGAGGCUCAACCUCAAAAUCGCAGUCGAAACUAUUAGGCUAGAGUAUAGUAGGGGUAAAGGGAAUUUCCAGUGGAGCGGUGAAAUGCGUAGAGAUUGGAAAGAACACCGAUGGCGAAGGCACUUUACUGGGCUAUUACUAACACUCAGAGACGAAAGCUAGGGUAGCAAAUGGGAUUAGAUACCCCAGUAGUCCUAGCCGUAAACAAUGGAUACUAGAUGUUGAACAGAUCGACCUGUGCAGUAUUAAAGCUAACGCGUUAAGUAUCCCGCCUGGGAAGUAUGCUCGCAAGAGUGAAACCCAAAGGAAUUGACGGGGGCCCGCACAAGCGGUGGAGCAUGUGGUUUAAUUCGAUGCAACGCGAAGAACCUUACCAGGGUUUGACAUGAUACGAAUUUCUUUGAAAGAAGAAAGUGCCGUUUGGAACGUAUACACAGGUGGUGCAUGGCUGUCGUCAGCUCGUGUCGUGAGAUGUUGGGUUAAGUCCCGCAACGAGCGCAACCCUCAUUUUUAGUUGCCUUAUGGAACUCUAGAAAGACUGCCGGUUAUAAACCGGAGGAAGGCGGGGAUGACGUCAAGUCAGCAUGCCCCUUACACCCUGGGCUACACACGUGCUACAAUGGGUGAGACAAUGAGAUGCAACUCUGCGAAGACUAGCUAAUCUAUAAACUCACUCUAAGUUCGGAUUGUAGGCUGCAACUCGCCUGCAUGAAGUUGGAAUCGCUAGUAAUCGCUGGUCAGCUACACAGCGGUGAAUUCGUUCCCGGGCCUUGUACACACCGCCCGUCACACCAUGGAAGCUGGUUAUGCCCGAAGUCGUUACUCUAACCGUUUGGAGGAGGAUGCCUAAGGUAGAAUUAGUGACUGGGGUGAAGUCGUAACAAGGUAACC